rnacentral:rRNA from 1 species
AGUGAACGCUGGCGGCGUGCCUAAUACAUGCAAGUCGAACGGAGUGGCGCACGGGUGAGUAAUGUAUAGCUAAUCUGCCCUACACUAGAGGAAAACAGAGGGAAACGACUGCUAAUACACUAUAGUGUAGGAUGAGGCUAUAUUGUAUCAGCUAGUUGGUGAGGUAAAGGCUCACCAAGGCUAUGACGCAUAACUGGUCUGAGAGGAUGAUCAGUCUCCCUGGAACUGAGACACGGUCCGGGCUCCUACGGCAGGCAGCAGUAGCGAAUAUUGCUCAAUCGGGGAAACCCUGAAGCAGCAACGCCGCGUGGAGGAUGACACUUUUCGGAGCGUAAACUCCUUUUGUUAGGAAAGCGGUACCUAACGAGUAAGCACCGGCUAACUCCGUGCCAGCAGCCGCGGUAAUUC